rnacentral:rRNA from 1 species
UACGAAGGGUGCAAGCGUUACUCGGAAUUACUGGGCGUAAAGCGUGCGUAGGUGGUUAUUUAAGUCCGUUGUGAAAGCCCUGGGCUCAACCUGGGAACUGCAGUGGAUACUGGAUGACUAGAAUGUGGUAGAGGGUAGCGGAAUUCCUGGUGUAGCGGUGAAAUGCGUAGAGAUCAGGAGGAACAACCAGGGCGAAGGCAGCUACCUGGACCAACAUUGACACUGAGGCACGAAAGCGUGGGGAGCAAACAGGAUUAGAUACCCUGGUAGUCCACGCCCUAAACGAUGCGAACUGGAUGUUGGGUGCACUUUGGCACGCAGUUUCGAAGCUAACGCGUUAAGUUCGCCGCCUGGGGAGUACGGUCGCAAGACUGAGUAA